AUACGGAGGAUCCGAGCGUUAUCCGGAUUUAUUGGGUUUAAAGGGUGCGCAGGCGGGAGAUUAAGUCGGCGGUGAAAUUUUGCAGCUCAACUGUAAAAGUGCCUUCGAAACUGGUUUCCUUGAGUGUAGAUGAAGUAGGCGGAAUUUGUGGUGUAGCGGUGAAAUGCUUAGAUAUCACGAGGAACUCCGAUUGCGCAGGCAGCUUACUAAACCACUACUGACGCUCAGGCACGAAGGCGUGGGGAUCAAACAGGAUUAGAUACCCUGGUAGUCCACGCAGUAAACGAUGAUUACUAGCUGUUUGCGAUACAAUGUAAGCGGCUGAGCGAAAGCGUUAAGUAAUCCACCUGGGGAGUACGGCCGCAAGGCUGAAACUCAAAGGAAUUGACGGGG
rnacentral:rRNA from 1 species